rnacentral:rRNA from 1 species
UACGAAGGUGGCAAGCGGUGUUCGGAAUUACUGGGCGUAAAGGGCUCGUAGGCGGCCAACUAAGUCAGACGUGAAAUCCCUCAGCUUAACUGGGGAACUGCGUCUGAUACUGGAUGGCUUGGAUUUGGGAGAGGGAUGCGGAAUUCCAGGUGUAGCGGUGAAAUGCGUAGAUAUCUGGAGGAACACCGGUGGCGAAGGCGGCAUCCUGGACCAAUAUUGACGCUGAGGAGCGAAAGCCAGGGGAGCAAACGGG